rnacentral:rRNA from 1 species
UCAGGAUGAACGCUGGCGGUCUGCUUAACACAUGCAAGUCGAACGCAACCUUCGGGUUGAGUGGCGGACGGGUGAGUAACGCGUGAGAAUCUGCCUUGGGGUCGGGGACAACCACUGGAAACGGUGGCUAAUACCGGAUAAGCCUUUGGGUAAAAGAUUUAUUGCCCCAAGAGGAGCUCGCGUCUGAUUAGCUAGUUGGUGAGGUAAGAGCUCACCAAGGCAGCGAUCAGUAGCUGGUCUGAGAGGACGAUCAGCCACACUGGGACUGAGACACGGCCCAGACUCCUACGGGAGGCAGCAGUGGGGAAUUUUCCGCAAUGGGCGAAAGCCUGACGGAGCAAGACCGCGUGAGGGAGGAAGGCUCUUGGGUUGUAAACCUCUUUUCUCAGGGAAGAAGCUCUGACGGUACCUGAGGAAUCAGCCUCGGCUAACUCCGUGCCAGCAGCCGCGGUAAUACGGAGGAGGCAAGCGUUAUCCGGAAUUAUUGGGCGUAAAGCGUCCGCAGGUGGCGAUUCAAGUCUGCUGUCAAAGCACGGGGCUUAACUCCGUUAAGGCAGUGGAAACUGAAUAGCUAGAGUGCCGUAGGGGUAGAGGGAAUUCCCGGUGUAGCGGUGAAAUGCGUAGAGAUCGGGAAGAACAUCGGUGGCGAAAGCGCUCUACUGGACGGCAACUGACACUCAGGGACGAAAGCUAGGGGAGCGAAUGGGAUUAGAUACCCCAGUAGUCCUAGCUGUAAACGAUGGAUACUAGGUGUAGCUUGUAUCGACCCGAGCUGUGCCCGAAGCUAACGCGUUAAGUAUCCCGCCUGGGGAGUACGCACGCAAGUGUGAAACUCAAAGGAAUUGACGGAGGCCCGCACAAGCGGUGGAGUAUGUGGUUCACUUCGAUGCAACGCGAAG